GGAUUAGAUACCCUGGUAGUCCAUGCCGUAAACGAUGAGUACUAACUGUUGGAGUCGGUGAAAAGGCUUCAGUAGUUGAGUUAACACGUUAAGUACUCCGCCUGAGGAAUACGACCGCAAGGUUAAAACUCAAAGGAAUUGACGGGGAUCCGCACAAGCGGUGGAGCAUGUGGUUUAAUUCGAUGCAACGCGAAAAACCUUACCUACUCUUGACAUCCAUAGAAUAGUAGAGAGAUUUACUAGUGCCUUCGGGAGCUAUGAGACAGGUGCUGCAUGGCUGUCGUCAGCUCGUGCCG
rnacentral:rRNA from 1 species